rnacentral:rRNA from 1 species
UACGUAGGGGGCAAGCGUUGUCCGGAAUCAUUGGGCGUAAAGGGUGUGUAGGUGGCGCCGUAAGUCGGGUGUGAAAUUUCGGAGCUUAACUCCGAAACUGCAUUCGAUACUGCCGUGCUUGAGGACUGGAGAGGAGACUGGAAUUUACGGUGUAGCGGUGAAAUGCGUAGAUAUCGUAAGGAAGACCAGUGGCGAAGGCGGGUCUCUGGACAGUUCCUGACGCUGAGGCACGAAGGCCAGGGGAGCAAACGGG